UGAGCUGUCAGCACAGAGCCUGACGCAGGGCUUGAACUCAUGAACUGAGAGAUCAUGAGCUAAGCCAAAGUUGGACACUCAACUGACUGAGCCACUCAGGCACCCCAAGACCAUCCUUUUCAAAGGCACAAUUGAAGGGAAAAGGGCCAAGCAGGACUACUUCCCUGCCUCCCUCUGCUAGAUCCUAUUGUUCUAAGAAUCCUGGGCAUACACAGCACACGUGCCAAUGUGCGCUCUGUCACCUCCCAGAUGACACUGGGGAAGAGGGUCAUGGUCAGUGCCUGCAGGACCAGGAACCGAGUCUUGUCCAGCGGGGGCAGGAACCUCUCCCUGGGGUAGUGCUCCACUACUACUCCGUUAAGAGUCUCUGUGUGCAUCUCUUUGGAAGCAAGUGUCCAAGAAUGUGCUCAGUUCUCUGUGUCUUAGGAACUUGGAACAGAGAGAAGGUCAUUGGGUGAGUUUUGGUUUUUCAAAGAACAGGAUAUUGCAGGCACCACUCAGGAAGCACAACGGAGUCUUACCAGGAUCUUGCUGGGGAACUUCGCCUGGAUUCUAGCGACUUCCUCUCUUCUGGUUGCUGUGAACAUGUAAGUUCAAAUUAAUACAUCGGCAUGUAAUAGAAGUCUGUAUCUCCUUUCCUCCCUGUCUCAAGGGCCAGAACCCAGACAGCGACUCUGAGAACUUUACCUAAACUCUUCCUCUGCUUGAAGGGUCUGAGGCUUUGGGUUUUCUGUGGAGGCUGCAUUUUGCUCAACAGCUGUGUCUGUGUCUGACUUAAAAAAAAAAAAAAAAAAUCCCACAACCAGGACCUAAUUCAUUCCUCCAGCUGCUUCCAAACCACCCGCAGGAGCCUAAAGGAGGCCCUUAGGUAGGGCUGUGUGACAUCAGGCGUCUCCAACCCGCCUUCCCCUGCCCCUCCCUGGGCAGGAGGAGGUCAGUCCUGAGGAAGGACCUGGAACAGCCACCUGCUUGCUGGUCUGAGAAGGCCGCUUUGCUCACAACCGUGGUGCGGUUCAGAGGAAAGAAGAUGAUUGAUGUUUCUCCUUUACUUCCCUGUUUUCAAGAUGAUGAGUUGGAUACCCUAUCACUCUGAAGGCAAAAUUUCCCCAGUGAUUUGAUUAAUACCAGAUCUUCUCUUAUGUAUGGAUUUGAAAACAAAGGCUUCAUAAUGUGACUUACCUCUGAAUCGGAAUCCUUACUAGAAGGCUGAGACAGUUUUGACACAUUUAAAUUGUGUGGUGACAGUUCUGGGCUUCCUUGAGACUUUGGACACCAAGCCGCUGCCCGCACGGGAGGCGCUCCAUCACCAGACUCCUCACUCUUUAACUGGGACACAGCAGACGCUUCCCUCUGAUCCGAUGCCGCAGUGAGGGGAUCGGUCCUUCUCCGGAACUGCUGCAGUGCUGCGCCUGGAGAGGGGCUUGAAGUUCGUGAAAAAUCUCCAAGACUUCCAGACCAGCUAAAACAAUUUCUGAGUGUCCCCAGGGUGGGUGGUGAGAUAGUCCUUGUGAAUUUGCUGGUCUCCAAACAUAGAGAGUCGUCAGCAAUCAUAGUUGCAUUGUCUGGAACCUGAUCACCUGAAUUACAUGCUCCAUCCGGACCAGCCAGCUUCUUGCCAUCCUGACAGUCUGAUUUAUCUACACUGGUCUCUUCAUCUGCGAUAGAACUUUCAUCUGGAACCUCAUCACCUGAAUUACAUGCUCCAUCCGGACCAGCCAGCUUCUUGCCAUCCUGACAGUCUGAUUUAUCUACACUGGCCUCUUCAUCUGCGAUAGAACUUUCAUCUGGAACCUCAUCAUCUGAAUUAUGUGCUCCAUCCGGACCAGCCAGCUUCUUGCCAUCCUGACGAUCUGGUUCAGCUACACUGGCCUCUUCAUCUGUGACAGCACUUUUUUCUGGGGGCUCACCGCCUGCUUUCGCUGAUACACAGUUGGCGGAAUCCAGAGAACUGCAAAAAAACCUAACAAAAAAAACAAUACAAAGAAUGCAUAAAUGUUUUAGAGUUUUCUCACAAAGGUGAUAAGAUUCAGAUAAUGAAAAAUGGAAAAAUAGUCUUGUUUCUUCAAGAAAAAGUCUCCUAAAUACAUAAUUUCAUAAAUAAAGAGAAAACCGUUCUUGAAAGUUUAAAUUUUGAUUAUAACAACAUUCACACAUUUAGAAAUUUAUUUGAAAUCCUGAAGUUGUAGACAGGAUUUCCUAAAAGCAGUCCUCUCUACAUACGUGUUAUUUGGAACUGGCAUAAUUUAUCUAUACUUCAUCAUCAUAUAGGUAUCCUUUCCCCUAACCUUCACUGAAUAGACUGGUCCCAACAGACCAGAAGCUCCUUGAGGACAGCUACCAUCCAAGCCAUUGUGUCCUCCACAGUACCUACAAUAGUGGUUAACACACGGCUGACAGUCAAAUAUUUGAGGAGAUAUGGAAAUAUGCAACACAAAGGACAAUUUACAACUACUGGCCUCUUACUUUGUAAAUGCAAAAUAAAAAAAUUUAGUCAUUUA